UACGUAGGGGGCAAGCGUUGUCCGGAAUCAUUGGGCGUAAAGAGCGCGUAGGCGGCCUGGCAAGUGGAUGGUGAAAUCCCUCGGCUUAACCGAGGAACUGCCAUCCAGACUGCUUGGCUUGAGACCGGGAGAGGUGAGUGGAAUUCCCAGUGUAGCGGUGAAAUGCGUAGAUAUUGGGAGGAACACCAGUGGCGAAGGCGGCUCACUGGACCGGUACUGACGCUGAGGCGGCGAAAAGCGUGGGGAGCAAACGGG
rnacentral:rRNA from 1 species